rnacentral:lncRNA from 1 species
GGUACCCGUCCAGGCAGCUCUAUCGGGUAGCUGCUGAGAGAUUGGUCACCGCUCAUCCACACCUUGCAGAUAGGGUCGGUUGCAGCCUGGAAUCAUGGGUGAUGGCCCUGAGGAACAAGUUCCAACAACACAGGAAAAAAGCUACAAAACUGCUCGGAGGAAAUGCUAAUUCAAAAGAAAUGCUGUCUGCCAAAGCAAAUGCAGGCACCAUCUGAAGAAGUGGCAAACAACAAAUUGUGCCGUCUUUUUGACUGCAGCCAUCUUACUACAUAUGGAGAAACCGUUGAGUCCUUGCAAAUUCAUAACGAAAGGCUCCAGAAUAAUGCAGCCUGCCACGAUGAAGCAACAGGAAGGCCAAGGUUGCGGGCAACAGCACUGGACAGGCAUAAAGAGCUUCGCAGCCUCACCCUGUCGGAUGCUCUUUUACUGUUUCCAUUUCUUGGAACUGAGGCAUUGGAACAAGCCCUGCUCACACCUUGCCUUGUGGAGAAAGGACUUACUCUACACAUUGACGGGGAGCCCGUUUUGAGUGUGCCAUCACUUCUUGCAGGAAUGGCGUGCCUGUUUGCAUCGUUUUGGGUAUUUCAUGUGGAAUACCCAAAAAAAGGCACACAAAAUGCUCACAUUCUUUGAGCACGCGUUCCUACACCUUUCACGCAUGAAGCCGAGUGUCAAAGCUCUGGAACUUAUAAAUUUUUUUUAAUGAGUAACAUUAAUUUAGUUUCACAAUUGUAGUUUUGUAGUUUUCUUCAAGUACGUUGUGCAAGCUGGCAUUUUGGACUUCUGUGCCUUGAGAAGAGGUGAAAAAAAAGUAUGACAGACAAAUGUUAAUAUUGCAUUUUUUUGUGCAAGGUUUUUUUUUUUCUAAACCUUGGCCAU